UUUCCGUAGGUGAACCUGCGGAAGGAUCAUUAAAUUCAGUAGUUUACUACUGUUUUGAGGGAAGCGGAAACUCGCUCGGCUGCUUCGGUAUGCCUGGCUGAGGAGUACGCCCCCUCUUUACACCCUUGUCUUUUUGCGUACUCAUGUUUCCUCGGCGGGCUUGCCCGCCGGUUGGACAAAUAAUAACCUUUUUAAUCUUCAAUCAGCGUCUGAAUAAUUAUAAUAAUUACAACUUUCAACAACGGAUCUCUUGGUUCUG
rnacentral:misc_RNA from 1 species